CGGUUUCUAUUUGCUGUGGACAUAUAUAAUGAAUAUGAGUAUCAAUACCACCGGCCGUUAUGAUCUUGCCUUCACCGGCGAUGACUUCCGUUCCUGCACCAACGAUCAUAUUAGGUUGUACGCCAUCCAUCAGAUCGGGAUUGCCCGCUUUACCUAUUCCUACUAUAAUACCGUCCUUAAUCCCGAUAUCCGCUUUAACAAUUCCCCAAUGAUCUAUAAUAAUCGCAUUGGUAAUCAAUGUAUCCAGAACGCCCUGAUCCCUCGUAUGACGACUGGACUGGCCCAUCCCAUCG
rnacentral:sRNA from 1 species